CUGAGUUUGAUCCUGGCUCAGAUUGAACGCUGGCGGCAGGCCUAACACAUGCAAGUCGAGCGGAUGAGUGGAGCUUGCUCCAUAAUUCAGCGGCGGACGGGUGAGUAAUGCCUAGGAAUCUGCCUGGUAGUGGGGGAUAACGUUUCGAAAGGAGCGCUAAUACCGCAUACGUCCUACGGGAGAAAGUGGGGGAUCUUCGGGCCUCACGCUAUCAGAUGAGCCUAGGUCGGAUUAGCUAGUUGGUGGGGUAAUGGCCCACCAAGGCGACGAUCCGUAACUGGUCUGAGAGGAUGAUCAGUCACACUGGAACUGAGACACGGUCCAGACUCCUACGGGAGGCAGCAGUGGGGAAUAUUGGACAAUGGGCGAAAGCCUGAUCCAGCCAUGCCGCGUGUGUGAAGAAGGUCUUCGGAUUGUAAAGCACUUUAAGUUGGGAGGAAGGGCAGUAAGUUAAUACCUUGCUGUUUUGACGUUACCAACAGAAUAAGCACCGGC
rnacentral:rRNA from 1 species